rnacentral:rRNA from 1 species
CUUAUAGUUGUGUGUUUGUAAUGAGUGUAAUUUAAAACAAUUAACAAGGAACCAUUGGAGGGCAAGUCUGGUGCCAGCAGCCGCGGUAAUUCCAGCUCCAAUAGUGUAUACUAAUGUUGCUGCAGUUAAAAAGCUCGUAGUUGAAUUUCGGUUGACAGGGGAACAGUCUACACUUUUAUGUGUACGCACUGUCUCUCCGUUUCCUUCUUUUCAGUAACAAAAUUUAUUUUGUUCUGAAUUAUUUACUUUGAAAAAAUUAGAGUGUUCAAAGCAGGCGUAUUUUGGCCUUUGAAUAUAUUAGCAUGGGAUAAUGAAAUAAGACUUUUUGCCUUAUUCUCGUUGGUUUUUGAGGCUAAAGUAAUGAUUAAUAGGGAUAGUUGGGAUCAUUAAUAUUAAAUUGUCAGAGGUGAAAUUCUAAGAUUAAUUUAAGAUUAACUACUGCGAAAGCAUUUGACAAGGAUGUUUUCAUUAAUCAAGAACGAAAGUUGGGGGAUCGAAGAUGAUCAGAUACCGUCGUAGUCUCAACCAUAAACUAUGUCGACCAAGGAUUCGGGGGUGUUGCAUGAAUGACCCUCCGGGCACUUAUAGAGAAAUCAUAAGUAUUUGGAUUCCGGGGGGAGUAUGGUCGCAAGGCUGAAACUUAAAGGAAUUGACGGAAGGGCACAACAAGGAGUGGAACUUGCGGUUUAAUUUGACCCAACACGGGAAAACUUACCAGGUCCAGACACAGUAAGGAUUGACAGAUUGAGAGCUCUUUCUUGAUUUUGUGGGUGGUGGUGCAUGGCCGUUUCUAGUUGGUGGAGUGAUUUGUCUGGUUAAUUCCGUUAACGAACGAGACCUUAACCUAUUAAAUAGUUACACGAACCUGAGUUUACUCAUUAGUUCGUGGAAAACUUCUUAGAGGGACUCUUCACGUAAAGAGUGAAUGGAAGUUUGAGGCAAAAACAGGUCUGUGAUGCCCUUAGAUGUUCUGGGCUACACGCGUGUUACACUGAUAUCUUCAACAAGCAUUAUUUACCUUGCCCGAUGGGGCUGGGAAAUCUUCUAAAAUGAUAUCGUGAUGGGGAUUGGCCAUUGUAAUUAUUGGCCAUGAACGAGGAAUUCCUAGUAAGGGCAAGUCAUCAACUUGUCCUGAUUACGACCCUGCCCUUUGUACACACCGCCCGUCGCUCCUACCGAUGAAUGGUCCGGUGAGGAUUUAGGAGAACCGCAGAUCUUGGUGUUAAAGCCAUUCUGUUGAUUGUUCGAAUUUAUUCAAACCUUAUCAUUUAAAGGAAGGAGAAGUCGUAACAAGGUU